AGUGAACGCUGGCGGCGUGCCUACUCCAUGCAAGUCGAACGGAGCGGCGCACGGGUGGGUAAUGUAUAGCUAAUCUUCCCUAUCCUAGAGGACAACAGUUGGAACCGGCAGCUAAUACUCCAUAGUAUCGGAUGAGGCUAUAUUGUAUCAGCUAGUUGGUGAGGUAAUGGCUAACUAAGGGUAUGACGCAUAACUGGUCUGAUAGGAUGAUCAGUCACACUGGAACUGAGACACGGUGAAGAGUGCUACGGGUGGCAGCAGUAGGGAAUAUUGCUCAAUGGGGGAAACCCUGAGGCGGCAACGCCGCGUGGAGGAUGAGACUUUGGGGAGCAUAAACUCGUUUUGUUAGGGAAGCGGUACCUAACGAAUAAGCACCGGCUAACUCCGUGCCAGCAGCCGCGGUAAUUC
rnacentral:rRNA from 1 species